rnacentral:tRNA from 1 species
GCACUGGUAGCUCAGCUGGAUAGAGCGAUUGGCUACGGACCAAUAGGUCAGGGGUUCGAAUCCUCUCCAGUGCA